GACGAGCGCUGGCGGCGUGCCUAACACAUGCAAGUCGAACGGAGAAGUUGAUUUCGGUUGACUUCUUAGUGGCGAACGGGUGAGUAACGCGUGAACAACCUGACCUCAAGAGGGGGAUACCAACGAGAAAUCGUUGUUAAUACCGCAUAAGACCACAGCGCCGCAUGGCAAAGGGGUCAAAGGAGCAAUCCGCCUGAGGAGGGGUCCGCGUCCCAUUAGGUAGUAGGCGGGGUAACGGCCCACCUAGCCAGCGAUGGGUAGCCGAGCUGAGAGGCUGAACGGCCACACUGGAACUGAGACACGGUCCAGACUCCUACGGGAGGCAGCAGUGGGGAAUAUUGGGCAAUGGGCGCAAGCCUGACCCAGCAACGCCGCGUGAGGGAAGAAGGUUUUCGGAUUGUAAACCUCUGUCGCAGAUGACGAAGGAAGUGACGGUAAUCUGUGAGGAAGCCCCGGCUAACUACGUGCCAGCCGCCGCGGUAAUAC
rnacentral:rRNA from 1 species